AACGACCGGUCGGACACGCACGCCCAUGGCAGCGGAUCCGGCCCACAAGUGGAGGCUUCGAACUCCCACCUGGCCGUCCUCCGGACGGCGGGUCACCGGUCAGGCGGUUCCGUCCCACGGCGGUGACCAGCCCGAAAUCGCGCCCCGCGGUCAUAGCGGCGGUGCUCCGGUAGCAGUUCGAGGAGCCCCGCCUGUGAUCGUCCGGGGCAUUUUUU
rnacentral:ncRNA from 1 species